rnacentral:rRNA from 1 species
UCGCCUGUUUAUCAAAAACAUGGUCUUUUGUUUUUAUAAAAGAUCUGGCCUGCCCAAUGAUUAAUUUAAUGGCUGCAGUAUUUUGACUGUACAAAGGUAGCAUAAUCACUUGUCUUUUAAUUGAAGUCUGGUAUGAAUGGUUGGAUGAAAAGUCAACUUUCUUUGAUUUAUUUAAAAAAGUUAAUUUCUGGAUAAAAAAGUUUAGAUUAGAUUAUAGGACGAGAAGACCCUAUAGAACUUUAUUAUUUAUUUGUGAUGAUUUACUCGAAUAUGAUUUAUCAUGAUAUUUAGAAUAGUUGUGUUGGGGUGACAAAAAAAAUUUUAUAACUUUUUUUAUUUUUAUUAUUUAUAGAUGAUUUAUUGAUCCUUUUUUAUGGAAAAAAGAUUAAGUUACCUUAGGGAUAACAGCGUUAUCAUUUUAGAGAGUUCAUAUCAAUAAAAUGGUUUGCGACCUCGAUGUUGGAUUAAAAAAAGUUUCAGGAGUAGAAGAUUGUUUACUAGGUCUGUUCGACCUUUAAAUUUUUACAUGAUCUGAGUUCAAACCGGAGA